ensembl:lncRNA
CGGUCUGGCAUUUCUGGCAAUUGUUGUGUGAAAGAAAUAAAUGACAAGGGAGACGUGUGAAGUUGUGAUCACAUGAGCACGUUGUUAUUAACAUCCAUAGUACGUUGAUAAUCUCAUACAUAGACGUCAUUAUAAAGCAUGGACAAGGAGCUGUCGCACAUGUUGUCAAAUAGGAUCAUAUCACAGGAGGCUGGCGAGGCGGGAGCAGUGGCGUCUAGAGUGGAGUUCACAGAAUGGAAUCGGACUAAUUGGGCACUGCGUUUCACAUCCAUUCCGUUCCUUCCAUCCUGGACGUUACUAUGAGCCCAUCCUCUCGAUUCAGAUUUCUCUGGCCACCUGGACAUCAAAUGGACACGUGAACAGAAUGGUAGAAGUGGCGCCACUGGUGCUACAGAGUAAAAGCAGGAUUAAUGGCUUACCUCUAUCAGACCAUGGAAGAGAGGAACAGGACAGACCCUGCCUAAAUAUGGCGCUGACAAGGUGUCCUGAUCUUGUCCAGGUUCUGACAGUGUCCAUAUUUCGUAGGCAGGUGCAGAUGAUUAAAAGCCACAUUGUGAUCUGAUUUUGAUCGUUUGUUAUAAGUGUAUAUGGACAAGACCAGGACAUUAUCAGGAGAAAUAAUUAAUGUAAGAUCCAGGUGAAAAUGGGGCAAGAGAGAGAGAGUGACAAGGGGAAUUAACAGAAUCUUUCAUCUUCUUAUAACUAAUCAAUUGCAAGUACAAGGGCAAGAAACCAUAGUGAACCUGGGCCUCUAGAUGUCAAAAGUUACUAUGGAGAGAAAAGUCAUCUGCACCAUAUCAAUCACAUUUCAAAUGUUUCUCACUCUCUCUCUCACUCCACACUAGCUGAUCAUUAAGACUACUGCAGUACAUGUACAAUACUGUCUGUCACAUGGGACUCUGCAGCAGCCAGAGGAUGUCAAUGAAGAGCAAACUUUGUCUGGAAGACUAACAAAUCAGAGACGUCAUCCUGCAUAUCUGACACACCUUUGCUGCAUUUCCUGCACAUUUCAGUUCAUCCACCCUGUUAAGUUUUGGCGAUAGAUAGAUGCCAAAAUUCUGAACAGACUAUUGUUAUACGUAUCUAGUUUUGGCAGUUAGCUACCUCCAUACAAUGUACUUCAACCACUGAAUCUAUUGUACCUUACUCAUAGUCUUAAGGUUAGCAUUGAUGCUAACUCUCACACUAUGUUACAUUUACAAAAUACUUGUUAGUAACGCAAUAAUAUAUUAAAAUACAGUAGUUGAGAAUCCAUAUUAGCUUCUUAUGUCUCGUUCUUUCAAAAUG